CUAGCAUAUGUGUUGUCCACAUCUAUUGACCACAUCCCUAAUAGAUGCGAUCCAGGCUGGUGGAAACAGCACUCAAACAAGCUGUCCUGUAUUGACUAUAAUUUCAUGAGCAUGAGGUUCAAUGAGCCAUUGAACUAGACAUGGACCCAAAAGCUAUUUGAAGCUUUGCAGUGAUGCAGAUGCCAAUCGAUGACCCAGACUGCCUCUCAGGAUGCCUUCUGAUCCCCAGGCUUCCUGCCAACACCCACCUGCCUGCUAUCCCUAAGGAAGGAGGUGCCAUCAGGAACUGCAUCACAGAGGAGCGCUCUUGGCUCAGAGAGGUGAUGUCACCCGUGGGAACUCACCUGGCCACCACACAGAGGGAAGCCAAGGUCGGAACCCAGAAGAAAGGGGAACAUUCUUGCAAGCAACAUGGUGAUGUGAGCGGGUGUAGAGUCAGCGGGGACAGCUGGGUGUGACCAUCUUCUAGCUGCCUGGAUCCAAGACUGUAUGGGUCAUCGUUGAACCCGGCUUGGAGUCGACCGCAUAGAGGUGUCCAGAUUCAGUUCCAUUCCAACAAUCCAGUGUUGAUUUAUCAGGUACCUGCUAAGCACAGACCCUGUGCUUGGGAUUGGAAGUGAAAGAACAAGAUGCAGUCCCUUAGCAGAGAAGAGACAACCAUGGUGAACACACACCAAGCAGUGGCUGAGCCAACGGUCCAGAGGCAAAGGGACAGGAAACUACCCAAACUGACCAGUGGAGACAGUAACAUCUGCGUAACUUAUCUUUAAAAAUGUGGAGGUGAAGCCUCAUUCUCCAGGAGAACGGGCACUGCUGGUUGCGGUGUCCAGAAAUUCUUAAUGCAGCUAAACUGAAACAUAGACCGUGCCUCCAUCUCAGUAAAUGUAUUGCAAUGGUGACGAUGAGACCUGUAAUUUUUUUUUUUGCUAAGGUCAUGAGUGAAUAUUGGAAGUAAAUGACCUCCAUAUUAAAAAUGUAUUAAGGAAUAAUACAUUUUAGAUCACUAGCCAAAAUAGCAAUGUACUUUCUGCAAUCCGACUUCCAGAGCUCUAAGGUGAAUCAUUAGAAGAAACUAGAGUCCAAAGAUGCUAGGUGGGAAACUGAUGAAGUAUGUCAUCACUAUGUCCAUAUUCCAGUGAAAAGAAAAGAAGCUCAUGAAGAGAACUGUGACAAGGCUGACUGACAGACAGUGGGGGAUGAGGGGGUGUCGACAUGAGAUCUUUCAAAAAGGCCUAUCUUGAAGAUAAGUCGACUCAGAUUUUGUAGGAACUAGGUGACUUUGAUGGGUAGUAGAAUGAAUCAUAACAUGUAAAACUACUUAAAUAAAAAUUUAUUGACUAAAAAAUUUUUUUAUUGACUUAAAAAAUUGUGGAGCUGGUAUCUGGUUGGCUGUGGGUGUUUGCAGUUAGGAUUGUUGCUCGAAUGUUCACUUUGCUUUGCCUUUACUGGACUAUUCCCGGGGCCUGGCUUAGCUGAUGCUUUGGGAAAAUGAUUUUGAGCUGUACAGAUAGCUUUUUUCAGAUGUACACUCAAGCUACAGAAGGAAAAAUUAGAUAAAAGGAGCAGCUGAGAGGGACCUCAAAGAUCCCCUGGGACACCUGCUUUCAACCUUGGUUUUCUGGAGCCUCAGGGUUCCAGGUGGGCAGGGAGACAGCUCUGGGAAAGGGGAUGCUGAUGGCGUGGGCUCAGGGUCUCCUGCCUCCACCAAAAGAGCUCAGUGGAAC